AUACGGAGGGCGCGAGCGUUAUUCGGAAUCAUUGGGCGUAAAGCGCGUGUAGGCGGCUGGGCAAGUCGGAUGUGAAAGCCCGGGGCUCAACCCCGGAAUUGCAUUCGAAACUGCUCAGCUAGAGUUUCGGAGAGGAGGGCGGAAUUCCCGGUGUAGAGGUGAAAUUCGUAGAUAUCGGGAGGAACACCAGUGGCGAAGGCGGCCCUCUGGACGAUGACUGACGCUGAGACGCGAAAGCGUGGGGAGCAAACAGGAUUAGAUACCCCAGUAGUCC
rnacentral:rRNA from 1 species